rnacentral:rRNA from 1 species
GAGUUUGAUCUUGGCUCAGAUUGAACGCUGGCGGCAUGCCUUACACAUGCAAGUCGAACGGCAGCAUGAUCUAGCUUGCUAGAUUGAUGGCGAGUGGCGAACGGGUGAGUAAUACAUCGGAACGUGCCCUGUAGUGGGGGAUAACUAGUCGAAAGAUUAGCUAAUACCGCAUACGACCUGAGGGUGAAAGUGGGGGACCGCAAGGCCUCAUGCUAUAGGAGCGGCCGAUGUCUGAUUAGCUAGUUGGUGGGGUAAAGGCCCACCAAGGCGACGAUCAGUAGCUGGUCUGAGAGGACGAUCAGCCACACUGGGACUGAGACACGGCCCAGACUCCUACGGGAGGCAGCAGUGGGGAAUUUUGGACAAAUGGGCGAAAGCCUGAUCCAGCAAAUGCCGCGUGUGUGAAGAA